AUCGCUUCUCCGCCUUUUGGCUAAGAUCAAGUGUAGAAUAGGCAGCUAGAUGGUGCAGUGAACAGAAAUUUGAAUCUUGAAUUAGGAAGAGCUGAGUUCAGAUUCCACCUUAGAUACUUAAUAACUCUGUGAGCUUGGGUAACCUCCA
ensembl:snRNA U2 U2 spliceosomal RNA